UACGUAGGGUGCAAGCGUUGUCCGGAAUUAUUGGGCGUAAAGCGCGUGUAGGCGGUUUGUUAAGUCUGUUGUGAAAGCCCUGGGCUCAACCCAGGAAGUGCACUGGAUACUGGCAGACUUGAAUACGGGAGAGGGUAGUGGAAUUCCUGGUGUAGGAGUGAAAUCCGUAGAUAUCAGGAGGAACACCGGUGGCGAAGGCGGCUACCUGGACCGAUAUUGACGCUGAGACGCGAAAGCGUGGGGAGCAAACAGG
rnacentral:rRNA from 1 species